rnacentral:rRNA from 1 species
AGAGUUUGAUCCUGGCUCAGAACGAACGCUGGCGGCGUGCUUAACACAUGCAAGUCGAACGCGAAAGUUUUCUUCGGAAAGCGAGUAGAGUGGCGCACGGGUGAGUAACGCGUAAGUAAUCUACCCUGGUAUCUGGGAUAACCCACCGAAAGGUGUGCUAAUACCGGAUACGCUGAUUUAUCAGGAAAGGUGGCCUCUUCAUGAAAGCUACUGUACCAGGAGGAGCUUGCGUACCAUUAGCUAGUUGGUAGGGUAAUGGCCUACCAAGGCGACGAUGGUUAGCGGGUCUGAGAGGAUGAUCCGCCACACUGGAACUGGAACACGGACCAGACUCCUACGGGAGGCAGCAGUGAGGAAUAUUGCGCAAUGGGGGAAACCCUGACGCAGCGACGCCGCGUGGAUGAUGAAGGCCUUCGGGUCGUAAAAUCCUGUCAGAUGGAAAGAAAUGUAUAGAGGCUAAUACCCUUUAUAUUUGACGGUACCAUCAAAGGAAGCACCGGCUAACUCCGUGCCAGCAGCCGCGGUAAUACGGAGGGUGCAAGCGUUGUUCGGAAUUACUGGGCGUAAAGCGCGCGUAGGCGGCUAUUUAAGUCAGAUGUGAAAGUCCACGGCUCAACCGUGGAAGUGCAUUUGAAACUGGAUAGCUUGAGUACUGGAGGGGGUGGUGGAAUUCCCGGUGUAGAGGUGAAAUUCGUAGAUAUCGGGAGGAAUACCGGUGGCGAAGGCGACCACCUGGCCAGAUACUGACGCUGAGGUGCGAAAGCGUGGGGAGCAAACAGGAUUAGAUACCCUGGUAGUCCACGCCGUAAACGAUGUCAACUAGGUGUUGGGGAGGUUAAUCUUCUCAUUGCCGCAGCUAACGCAUUAAGUUGACCGCCUGGGGAGUACGGUCGCAAGAUUAAAACUCAAAGGAAUUGACGG